AAUUGGUCAGAAACACACUGGAAACCAGCUAUGGUUCCUUUAAGGUUAAACCCAAAACAAUAGGAACUGCCUUUGGCCUCAAUGCAUCAGGAGAUCUAUUUCUUGAAAAAAUGAGUUAUAAAGAUCUUUCUGAAGAGAACAAACUCAUUUUUAGAAGGUUCCAAGGCAACACUCUGAAGAAUCUAACCGAUGAGAUGACGAGUAUCAGUGUUGAAAGUGAACAAGAUCGGCUGAUGUUUAAGAGUAUUUUCAUCCUCUAUAUUCAGAUGGCAUUCUUGUUGCUAAGUACAAUAACCAAAGUAUCUCCCAUGCACAAGCUCCAAUUUUUGAGAUGGAGAAAAUAACAGAGGAAAACUGGAGAGCCCAUGUGCUGAAUUUCAUCAUUAAAGGCAUAACAAAUUAUCGUCUGAAAAAGAAAAAAUCAAUCGACGGGUACCUCUAUACCUUGAUGAUAAUCUAUUUCCAUCUCGCAAAAAACAAGGACAAGAAAAGAGAGGAAAAACCUGGAGUGCCCUGGGUUAGCAACUGGAACAGAGAGCAGCUGGUUGCAAGAAUUAGAGCAGAGAUAGAUGGCCAUAUGGCAUCAUUAAGAUGGCGGAAACAAAAAAAUUGAAAGAAAUGAAAGAAAAAGAAAAGAAAGAAGAAAAGAAACAAAAAACAAAAAAAUGAAACCAAAUUCUUCGUUUGAGAGUGAUUCA